CAAAGGGGCCCCCACAGAUUUUCUCCAUCAUCAUUAUCAAUGUGCCCUCACAGCAAAGAGGAUUAUUCACACAUAGAAGGAGUCCCCAUUCUCCAUGAACAACAAAAUCUACAAAAUCAUAACUCACCCUCACUGAAUGGACACACAAAAAAAACCACACACACGGAGAGAGAGUAACGAAGAGAGAGUAGCGCAGAGAGAGAAGAUCGAGCAGGAGAAGGUUCAAAUCAAUUCGGAUCCUUACUUCUCAAUAUCGGGUUUGGAGUUUUAUUUGCUGUCGAGGUUUGGUUUAAGAGUUCGAACGCGAUUCUCUUUCUGUUAUAUUGAAAUCUUCAAAUUAAGGUCAAAAUUCUCAAACUCUAUCUCUUUUCAUUUUAUAUGUGAUGAUAUCGUUGAUUUGUGUAAUUCAUGUUUGAGUUUGGUGAUUAAUUUUUGAUAGUAUGUUUGAGUUUUCUUUAAUUGUCGUAGUUUGUUUGGUUGAUUUAAUUGAGACUUGCUUAAUCAUAUGAUUGAGAAUGAAUCAGGACGGAGAUUGAAAAUUGGUAAAAGUGAAUAUUAUGGUAUUUUGAUUCAUUAUUGAUAUUGAACGUAAUAUGUUGUCGAGCGGGCAGACCAACAUUAGGACGGGUAGGCAAGUUUAGAAUUGGUGGAUUAUUUGAAUCUUUGAAAUAUUUGUUGAAUGUCUUGUUUACCGCAUUUUAAAAGUAUAUUCAUUUGGCCGGGGAAUGCUCUGAGGUAUUUGUAUUUAUUCACCGGGGAAUGCCCCGACGUACUAUGUUGGUGGAAAAUGAUCGUGAUGAAGAACCGAGGCAGCGGGUAAAGCAACGGAGUUUAGCCUAGGACUAGUUUAGAAUAGGAUUUAUUUAUUUUUUGCAUUUUUCUAUUCCAGUUUGUAAUAAUUGGACUGGACAUUAUAAUUUUGAAUUUUUUUUGUUUUGUUGGUUUGAUUGAUUGUUUUAUGUGUUUAAUGUGGUUUAUACAUUCGUAGUGUCAAAAUUAGCCGAUACUCUCCACCAAGCGACCAUGGUCGAACCACGGGAUCGAGGGGUGCCUAACACCUUCCCCUCGGUCAACAGAUUUCUUAGCCGGAAUUUCUAUUCGCAAACCAGUUUAAAGAGUCAAAUGAUUUUGAAAAGGAUUUUCCAAUGGUGACUUGGCACACCAGAUUAUGCCAAGUGGCAACUCUGAUUUCAAAUGUAAAAACAAUCCUUUUUCGAAACAAAUCGUUUUCUGUUGUCUCUUAAUAAUAAGAACCCUUUCGAACAUAAUCGUAAAUCGAUAUCUUUUUGGAGUUGAAAAAAAGGGGUGUGACAGCUCUGACGACUCUAUUGGGGAGUCAUUUUAGAAUUCGAACUUAUUUUUUGGAGUUGUAUCGGCUUAAUUUGGAAUUAUGGGUGUAUAAACGUUGUUUGUGUUGUUUUGUGUUAUUGUUUUUUUUCAUUGUUGAGUGUCUGCAUGCUCUUUGUUUAUAGUUUUUAUCUAUGUGUUACCGCUUUAUAUCUGGCAUCAUGUGCAUAACCCGAGUCAUUCUUUCUGCAACAAGUUCGUAGUGCACGCUGUGUACACGACCUCUAGUUGAGCCACCCUUAUCUUAGGAGGGGGAGCCGUCGGCUGGUAUGGAAUGGAUGAAAAGCUAAAUGAGCCACUAUCGACCAUACGCUCCCUCGAACAGCCUUGUUAGUGAACCCCAGCGUAGGUCAACUUUUAGGCUAUGCUUAUCUGCAUCAUAUUAAAGCCUAGCAGGACCCACUUGGUCCUUUGUAGGAAACUCACCUCUAAGGCAUCCCUACGUGCUAAAUGUUGCAUCUUUGAGGGUAAUGAGGUCAUUUGACAGACUGAUUUGGGCAAAAACAUGUGUUAGAAGCAAAGUGUGUAAGCAAGAAAUUGUUAAAAAAAAAAAGAAGAAAAAAGAGUGAAAAAAAAGUGAUUUGGUAGUUUUUAGGAUUCUUUAUGGCUUUUGUUUUUCACAAUUCAAUUUUUUUUUUGUUUUAACUCUUUGCACUCAUUUCCCAAAUAAUCAAAAGCGUUAAAAAAAAUUCUUUUAUUUAUUUAGUAAGUAUUCACAAUUCAAAAACUUCAAAAAUAUAUUUUUUUUCCCUUUCAAUAGGAGCUUUGUACAUUUUUAUAUAACGAAAAUAUCAAAAAAAAAAUUUCUUUCAUAGUUGUUGGUGUUAGUUUCUAAUUAAAAACCCAAAAAAAAUUUUAUUCGUCUGUCUUUAGUUGUGUCUCUCAAUUCAGGGUUUAGUUUGUCAUUUAAUCCUUAAUUGUCCAAUCUGGACGAACUACGCACCCCUGAUUCUCCUCUCUCGGGAGUGAGAUACGUAGGCAACCUAUUGUUGGUUCGGGGAUCUUAUUUGAAAAAUUCAAAAAGAUUUUCUUCGCUCUUUAUUAGAGUAGGUGUCAUAUACUUCUUUAAAAGAAAACUGCAAAAAGAUAUUCCUUUAAUAGUUUCAAGUUUCAUUUUCGUAUGAAAUUCAACAUUGAAAACCCAAAAAGAUUUCUCUCUGGUAAUCAUAGAUGUCAUUUUGUAUAGGGAUGUUAAAGCUAAAAAAUUCAAAAAGGUUUUCGUCAAUUCUUUUGAAAAUUUGUUAUUUUCUUUUCUUUUUAAAGUUUCAAGUAAAAGGAAAAAAAAGAAAAAAAAGUUUAAUUGACCAUUUUGGUAAGACUUCAUGAACUACGUACAACUGAUUCUCCUCUUUCGGGUAGGCGCCCUUUCAGGGUUUGGUGACCUUUUCAAAAAGAACAAAAAAAGUUUUUGAAAAAGUGUUGAAUUCUAACACAUUGGUUAUCUCCUGUUCAGUUAGUUUAAGGUGGUUAGUUUGUGGCAUUUUGGCUGGUCCUCUAUAUUGCAUCAAGUAACAGAGAAAGUUAUGGCCAACAAGGAUACCGAGUUUGUUGUCACUAAUCAGAUAGGGAGUUUGGGAAAUGAGAAUUUAGGAGCUAAUGAAGAGAUUCGGAAAUUAAGGCAGCAAAUGAUAGAAAUGCAUCGAGUUUGGGCUAAUGGGUUGCCACCUCCUCCAUCUCCCGCUGAUAAUCUGAAAUAUUUUUCUAGUUUGCCUCCAGUGUCACAUGCACAAUUUCCUAUUUUGGUCGACACGCCACAACAUGCAUCAGGACCUACUUCGGGGCAACAGUAUCCAAACACUUCCAAUAUUCAUCUCCUCACUCCUCAAUACAAAAUUACCACAUGCUCGGCUCCGCCUGCUGUUCAUGCUUUUGUAGUAGUCCUACUCCCAUCUAAAUCUCCUGCUUUUAAUGUCAAUCCAACGGUUGUGAUUCCUCACUCUACAAGCGACCCUGUAUUGAAUAUUUUUAGUGAUCUGCAUUAUGCUCUCGAGCCCACAUUUAAGUCGACUGGUCCUUACGACUGCCCUCAACUGCCUGAAUUUCCUCCUAAUACUAAGAAGCCUAUUAUGACAGAAGAACAAGAGGAAAUGGCCAUAAAAUUGAGAAGUUUGGAACUGACUAUGAAAAACUUGUGAGGACUUGGGGGGUAUAAAAGUGUCUCAUAUAAAGAUCUGUGCAUGUUUCCUGGUGUACAUCCUCCUCUUGGUUUUAAAAUGCUGAAGUUUGAGAAGUAUGAUGGACAUAGUGAUCCUGUAGCACAUUUGAGAUGCUAUUGCAACCAGUUAAGGAGCGCUGGAGGGAAGGAAGAAUUACUCAUGGCAUAUUUUGGUGAGAGUCUUUUAGGUCUAGCUUCAGAAUAGUUUGUUGACCAAGACAUCGACAAGUGGAACAACUGGGAUGACCUUGCUAAUGAAUUCAUGCAACAAUUUCAAUACAAUAUGUAGUUGAUUCCUGAUAAGAAAUCCCUGACUAAUAUGAAGAAAAAGAGUACUGAAACUUUCAGAGAGUAUGCGAUUAGAUGGCGUGAACAAGCUGCUAGGGUGAAACCACAAAUGAAAAAAAGUAAGAUAGCGGAGGCAUUUAUUCAAACGCAGGAUGAAACAUAUUAUCAACACUUGUUACCUGCAUUAGACAAACCAUUUUUGAGGUCCUCAAAAUAGGGGAGAUGAUAGAGGAUGAAAUUAAGAUCGGUCGCAUUGUGAGUUUUGCAAUAUUGAAAGCAACUACUCAAGCAAUUUAAAUAGGUUCGGGAAGUGUUGGAGGAAAGAAGAAUGAGGAAGAUGCAUCUUCCAUUAUAGUUGGACAAUAGGCACGAGCAAGAGGACCAUACCAUCGUUACCCACGGGCUCAAGCCCAAAAGUUUAUGCCCAAGUUUCACAGGAUCUUUCCCAAAAUCCAUUAUAUUCCAUUCUCCCAUCUCCAUAUCAAGUGUAUAAUGCGCAACCAUAUGUUCAACCCCCAUCUUACCCACGCUGGCACGCACCAACUCUGCCGAGUUAUCCUCUAACUCCACAUAUAUACCGAAGCGCUUCAAGGCCUGGUUUUCAAUUUAAGCCAAAUAAUGAAAUGAGACAGAAGUCGACGGAUAGCUUCACACCAAUUGGAGAGUCGUAUGUAAGUUUAUUCCAGAGAUUAGUAGAGUAGGGCAUGAUCACUCCUCUUCUUGGGUAUACUCCUGACCUACACUCAAGAAGUUUUGAUCCUAAUUUACGAUGUGCAUAUCAUUCUGAUGUUUAGGGUCACAGUAUUGAAGAUUGUCGUGAUUUGAAAAGAAAAAUUGAAAAAUGAUUCAAGAUAAAUCAAUCAUGGUGCAGAACAUUGAUAGCGAGGAAAGCUCUAGUCAUGCUGAUAUGCAAAUCAGUGGCUAAGAUGUCAGGCUGAGCAAUUGAGAAGUCACCCCUCUCCCCUACUAGGAAGAGAUCUGGUAGCUUGUUUUGUUUUAUUUUCUAUUGUCCGAAUUAUUUCAGGGUUGUAGUUCGGGAUUUAUCUUAUUUUAUCCUUUUGCUGUUUAUGUUCAAACCCUUCUAUUUUUUGUUUCAACUAAAUGAAGUGUCCCAUUUUUCUUUGUGUUUUAAAUAUGUUUUGUUUGUUUAUUUUCUUUACAUAGUACAUUUUAUGUUGACUCUGGUGAUAUGACAUGUUAGUGAAAUUUUCAGCCAGAUCUUAAAAUUCAGUCUAAGCAUGAACAUUAAAUCAAAGGGUUAAAGUUAGAAAAGAGAGCAUAUGAGAAAAUAGAUAGAGUGCUAAGAUAUUUGGUGAAAAGUUAAGACAAUUAUUUUGAGAAUCACAAGAACAACUUGGUCAUCGAUCGAAAGGCAGGUCCUAAUUAGGUCAAAUAGAGGACGUGUGAUCUCUAUAUCAAGAGAAAUAGGAAGAAAAUUAGCUCCACGAAGUCAUGAGUCCUUCAGCAUGAGGAAUGUACAACAAAGUGGAGUUGUAUGUUGG